GCACAUAUACGAAUACGCGGAACACGACCGGACGAUAGGCGCGCGGUAAAACGCGAAACACUCGCCGAGACGCAACACUAUGAGCGUCAACGGUGCGUUGGGACGGCGAAUCGAGGAGACCGCGGGCACAGCUCGAUAAGGCCGCGAGAACGCGCGUUUUCUAAUACGUACCGGUAGAUACGCGACGUCGUCGGGGCGGUGCGUUCGGCGACGGUUACGAUCACGUUGCGGCGUGCGGCUGUAGAG